AUAGUACUCCUUUCGUUCUGAAUUAUUUGUCGCAUGUAUGAAUGUAUGUAGAUGUAUUUUAGUUUUAGAUACAUCCAUUUUUGCGACGAGUAAUUUGGAACGGAGGAAAUACAAG
rnacentral:pre_miRNA from 1 species